rnacentral:rRNA from 1 species
ACCGGCGCACGGGUGCGUAACGCGUAUGCACCUACCUAUUGCAGGGGAAUAGCCCAGGGAAACUUGGAUUAAUGCCCCAUAGCAUAGCAUUUGUAAAGAUUUAUCGGCAAUAGAUGGGCAUGCGUCCCAUUAGCUAGUUGGUAUGGUAACGGCAUACCAAGGCUACGAUGGGUAGGGGCCCUGAGAGGGGGAUCCCCCACACUGGUACUGAGACACGGACCAGACUCCUACGGGAGGCAGCAGUGAGGAAUAUUGGACAAUGGGCGGGAGCCUGAUCCAGCCAUGCCGCGUGCAGGAAGACUGCCUAUGGGUUGUAAACUGCUUUUUUACGGGAAGAAACACCCCCACGUGUGGGGGCUUGACGGUACCGUACGAAUAAGGACCGGCUAACUCCGUGCCAGCAGCCGCGGUAAUACGGAGGGUCCGAGCGUUAUCCGGAAUCAUUGGGUUUAAAGGGUCCGUAGGCGGGCGUCUAAGUCAGUGGUGAAAUUCUGCAGCUCAACUGUAGGACUGCCAUUGAUACUGGUCGCCUUGAAUUAGUGUGAAGUGGCUAGAAUAUGUAGUGUAGCGGUGAAAUGCUUAGAUAUUACAUAGAAUACCGAUUGCGAAGGCAGGUCACUACACUAUAUUGACGCUGAUGGACGAAGCGUGAGCAGCGAACAGGCAUAGAAAGCCUGUAGUCACGCCGA